rnacentral:rRNA from 1 species
AUGAGUUUAGCUAGGGUUUGGGGCAUGUAUGAAGAUGAGAACAAGCUAAGGCUCAGGGAAAAUGUAGUUAAUGCUGAAGAAAAUUUCAGGGUUGUGAAAGAGAAGGAAAAGAUGGAAAAAGAUCUGAGGUUUUUUAAACUUGAUUUUGCUAAGAUGGUGGCUGACAAGGAGCAGGCAAUUACUGAGUUGGCCCAUGAACCCUCUGAGCAACAAAUGCAGAUUGCUCAGGCAGUGGCCCAUGAACCCUCUGAGGAGCUCUUCUUGCAAGCUCUCUCUGAGUCAUGUUGUAGACCAUACUGA